AGUGAACGCUGGCGGCAGGCCUAACACAUGCAAGUCGAGCGGCAGCGCGGGGGCAACCCUGGCGGCGAGCGGCGGACGGGUGAGGAAUUCGUCGGAAUCUGCCUUUUUGUGGGGGAUCACGUAGGGAAACUUACGCUAAUACCGCAUACGUCCUACGGGAGAAAGUGGUGGACCGCAAGGCCUUACGCAGAAAGAUGAGCCGACGACCGAUUAGCUAGUUGGUGGGGUAAAGGCCCACCAAGGCGACGAUCGGUAGCUGGUCUGAGGGGAUGAUCAGCCACACUGGGACUGAGACACGGCCCAGACUCCUACGGGAGGCAGCAGUGGGGAAUAUUGGACAAUGGGCGCAAGCCUGAUCCAGCCAUGCCGCGUGUGUGAAGAAGGCCUUCGGGUUGUAAAGCACUUUUGUCCGGAAAGAAAUCCCUGGAGCUAAUACCUUCGGGGGAUGACGGUACCGGAAGAAUAAGCACCGGCUAACUUCGUG
rnacentral:rRNA from 1 species